GUGCUCGCUUUGGCUGCACAUACACUAAAAGAGGAAUGAUACAGAGAAGAUUAGCAUGGCCUCUGCGCGCCUUUGGUUUUUAUUAUUGUAGAGAAACACAGAUUCUUC
ensembl:snRNA U6 U6 spliceosomal RNA